rnacentral:lncRNA from 1 species
AACAGCUCCAAAUAGCCUGGUGUCCUAUUUUUCCUCAGGGGAUGGAUACCUUAGCCACCUUCCCUGGCCUGGAAUGCAAAGAAUGCCACUUCAUUUGAGUGAAUAGAGAAUUCUUGGUAAAGGAAAACAAUCCGUCUCUCUCCGUCCCUCUUUCUCUCUCAUAAAUCAUAAAUCACAGACAAGAUGGAGGUCUUUCUGACAAUACCUAGAGAAAAAAAAAAGUCGUCUUUUAGAAUCACCCAAGCACAGGCCUGGCAGUGGAGUGUCUACCUCCAGGGCCCACAGACGACCUCCCACAACCAAGCUGACGGUGAGCCUGACCUUGAGAUCCCGCACAAGGAAGAGUGGCCCUGAGCUAACAUCUGUGCCCAUCUGCCCCUAUUUUAUAUGUGGG